rnacentral:rRNA from 1 species
ACGAACGCUGGCGGCGUGCCUCACCCAUGCAAGUCGCACGGAACUGUUUUGAAAGAUUUCUUCGGAAUGAAUUUGAUUUAGUUUAGUGGCGGACGGGUGAGUAACGCGUGAGUAACCUGCCUUCAAGAGGGGAAUAACAUUCUGAAAAGAAUGCUAAUACCGCAUGACAUAUCGGAACCACAUGGUUUUGAUAUCAAAGAUUUUAUCGCUUGAAGAUGGACUCGCGUCCGAUUAGUUAGUUGGUGAGGUAACGGCUCACCAAGACCGCGAUCGGUAGCCGGACUGAGAGGUUGAACGGCCACAUUGGGACUGAGACACGGCCCAGACUCCUACGGGAGGCAGCAGUGGGGGAUAUUGCGCAAUGGGGGCAACCCUGACGCAGCAACGCCGCGUGAAGGAUGAAGGUUUUCGGAUUGUAAACUUCUUUUAUUAAGGACGAAAAAUGACGGUACUUAAUGAAUAAGCUCCGGCUAACUACGUG